rnacentral:tRNA from 1 species
GGUAGGAUGGCUGAGUUAUAAGCGGUGGAUUGUAGCCCCAUAGACAGAGGUUUAACUCCUCUUCUUACCA